UUAGGGAUCUUCCCCAAUGGGCGAAAGCCUGAGGGAGCGACACUGCGUGGAGGAAGAAGGCUUUCGGGUUGUAAACUCCUGAACCGCCGACGAAAAUGACGGUAGGCGGGUAAUAGCACCGGCUAACUCCGUGCCAGCAGCCGCGGUAAUACGGAGGGUGCGAGCGUUAUCCGGAAUCACUGGGCGUAAAGGGCACGUAGGCGGGCUAGUAAGUCCGAUGUUAAAGGUCAGGGCUCAACCCUGAUACGGCGUUGGAUACUGAUAGUCUUGACACCUGGAGAGGUAAGUGGAAUUACCAGUGUAGCGGUGGAAUGCGUAGAUACUGGUAGGAACACCAAUAGCGAAGGCAGCUUACUGGACAGGUAGUGACGCUGAGGUGCGAAAGCGUGGGGAGCGAACCGGAUUAGAUACCCCCGUAGUCC
rnacentral:rRNA from 1 species